CACAGGGGGUGGAGUGUGUAGGGGAUGUCCUGAUGUGUGUAAGGAAUGCAUUGUGUGAAUCUGUGUUUGUAUGUGUAAGGGCUGCGAGGUGUGUUUGUGUAUGUAUGGGAUGCAUUGAGUAUGUGUAAAGGGUGCAUUGAGUGUGUGUAAUGAAUGCAUUGUGUGUUUCUGUGUGUGUAAGGGAUGCAUUGCUUGUGUAUGUGUGUCUGUGUGUGUAAUGCAUUGUGUGUUUUUCUGUGUGCAAGGGGUGCAUUGUGUGUGAUUGUGUGUGUGUGAUGGAAGUCAAUCUCCUCCCCCCCGUCAAUUUCCUCCUCCC